UCUCAACUCUGAAGGUAAGAAGACGGCUUUAUGGUUACACCGUAUACUGACCAAUUAAUGUAUUGACGGCCGAUAAAUUUUCUUUAUAGUACUCAAGAAAUAAACUAUGGCGGAAUAUGUGAAGAUUGAACUGGGACGAACCUCAAAUGAGUUUGAAUUUCACAUUGUCUGCAGUGAAACUCGGCGAGAAGUAGAAAAUACGCGAUUGCGGGAAGAAAAUGACAACUUAAAAUUACAAGUUGCACAACUGAGGCUGAGCAAUGAAAGAGCUGAAACCUGUCCCGUCUGCCACAACCAACUGAGCAAUACACCAAGAAGUGACGGAGCUGCAAUGCGACCCUUACCACGACUUUAAUGGAACUUGAACCGAAUUGAAUGCCUCUAUGGGCACAUCAACCACAUCUAUUAAAGUACUGUAUAUAUUUAACAACCUAUAUUGUUUUUUUUAAACAUUUAAAAUGUAGUAUAAAUAAUAUCGCUAAGUUAAAAAUUAAGAACAGCCAGGAGUGCUGUAUUAAAGAUAGCAAUCGUUCUUUAUACAUUUUACGAUAACUCUUAAGUUAUAAGUUCUUUGAAUGUUUGCAUGGCGAAAAAUAUAAUUGUUUUUGUUUGUGGAAACACCACGUAAAUUUAUUACCGCAAAUAAAUUUGGUAAUACCGGUAAAUAAUUGGGUAAUAAUUGCGGUAAUAAAUUUACGUGGUGUUUCCACAAACAAAAACAAUUAACUCUUAAGUUGCUAUGAGAGGCUGUUCCAAUAAAAAACGAAUUAUGAUAAUUAGUUGUAAAUGUUAUAUUUUGG
rnacentral:lncRNA from 1 species